AAAUUUCCGACGCGGGCACAAUUUUAUGUUGAUAAUGCGCUCCGUAAAAUAUAACCUCUGUCACCUUCCUUGUGUCAUGGUACAUGUAGUGAGGUGAAUGACAAUUGUGAUUAUAGGACUGUGAAUCCUUGGUUAAAGAACCGUUGGACGACCAUGGUGCUUUAUCAUAAUCUCUCCGGAUUUUCACGAUGGAUAUUUUCAAUAGUGUGUUUGCACCUGCUUUUUUGCCGGAACACGUCGGGAUCUCGUCUGCUUGUGAUACUCUUGGACGGAUUCCGUUGGGAUUAUCUGGAACAAGAUGGGCACAUGCUGCCUGGGUUUGGAAGCAUUCUACAGCACGGUGUGAAGGCCGAAUACAUGAUACCUGUGUAUCCAACGCUGUCGUAUCCUAAUUACUAUUCCAUCAUGACAGGUGUCCAUACAGAAAGUCAUGGUUAUGUCUCAAACCUCAUGUUUGAUGAAAAACGCGGUCGGAACAUUUUCAUGGACGAUGCUAACUUUCCCCAAGAGAAGCACGAGCCUCAUUGGUGGGACGAUGCUGAACCACUGUGGGUGACUGCAGAGAAACAGGGUAAAAAGACAUACUUUUACUACUGGAGGGAGUGUGAUGUUGCCAUCAGGGGAGUUAAGCCUACGUUUUGUCUACACAGACCAAAAGUGUCACAAAUUCCAGAAAUGCAGUAUUCAAUCCAAGAAUCGCUCAAUCUAUUUCAAAAUGGUUCUGCGGAUUUUGUUGGGAUAUACAUUGAAGCAGUGGAUCAUUAUGGCCACAGAUACGGUGUGGGUUCCAAAGAACUUAAGGAUAUGAUCAAGAAGGUUGAUGACGAGAUUUACAAUCUGAUCAAACAAAUGACGUCAUUAGGGUUGGAUGACGUCAGUCUGAUGGUAUUUUCUGACCAUGGAAUGGCAAAUAUUCAAGAAACGGUUGAUUUAUUUAAAACACUAGACAUGGAGGAUGUGACAGCAUUAAUUCCCGAGGGAUCCACGGUGAAAAUCUGGCCAAGGCCUGGUUUGAUUGACAAGGGUUUAAUUUGAGGGCGUAUGACUACAUGUAGCAGCUUUACCUCACUGAACCAUUUCUUUAUUAGCUUUGGAUUAGCUUUCAGAAACUUCCUCUCUGCGGGACCAUAAAGCCACAAAUGUCAUUACUGGGAAGCACUUUUAAUUAGAUUUGCCUGAACUUUGUUUGCAAUAUUUACGACGCUCUCCAAGAAGUUGCCAAGAACGGUAAAAUAACGGUGUACAGAAAAGACAACAUACCUGAGCGCUACAAUCUAAAGGGCCAUUACCGGGUAUCCCCCAUCUUUGUGGAGGCAGAUGAAGGGGUGUACAUCACCUCGCCCUGUAAAUGUGUGGGGUGUCUACAGUGUAAUAUCGUUUAUACCAGUAUUCCUCGAUACGAUGGCACUGAUCAGAUGAAAGGGAUGCAUGGCUAUGACAACGCUGACUCUGAUAUGAGAGCCAUAUUUCUGGCCUCUGGACCGGGUUUCAAAAAGAACUUCGUCAGUCCACCUUUCUAUAAUGUCGAGCUCUACCAGCUGAUGUGCAAUAUUCUGGGGGUGAAUCCUAACCCACAUAAUGGAACCUGGUCGAAAGUAUCCCCCAUGUUGCUAAAAGCGGAACCGGAGCGUUCAGAUCAUACCAUUAUGCAAGAACUGUGAUUGUAGACUGAUAAAGCACGAAGUUCGUUGAUAAAGAAAACUUCGAAACUUGUUACAUACCGGUAUUAAAUAAUUUAUUUGUAUCAUUUUGCCAAACGUGAAGGCUUUUCUAUUUAUUUGCAUUCACGGUCAGUAUAUCUAAAAUAAAUAAGAUUUACACCUUUGUCCAAGAACACACAUUAUUAAAGAAGCAUACACGUUCACACAAAUAAGAUUCGGUUUCUUUGAAAUUUACUUUGCUAAAAAUCGUAUAAAUAAAUUAAUAUAUUUUAAUCAAUAAAAAAAUAAAGGAAUCUUUAUAACGAAAUUGUUUAUUUUGUUUGAAUGUACCCUUACACUUGCAUUCAUGAGUAUUUAUCGAGACUGCAAAGUACACGUCUGAAAGUACACCAGAAGAACGGAGAAACAAACAGUUUGUUAUUAUAACUAUCUAGUCUUGUGAGAAUGGCUGGUUGACAACAAUUCUAAACGAGUCAUCUAUGCCAUGCUCGUACUUUGUUGUAUUUAAUUUGUUGAAAUUCUUUUUAUUGAUAACGCUAUUUUUGGUUGCAUUUGUAACAUUAGUAUUUGAUGAGCUGUACUAAUUUUUUUUUUUAAUUUUUUUUAAAAUCAACAAUUAUGUAAUAAUUUAUAGUCAAUAAAAAGAUUAAAAUCU
rnacentral:misc_RNA from 1 species